rnacentral:rRNA from 1 species
AGCGUACACGGUGGAUGCCCUGGCAGUCAGAGGCGAUGAAGGACGUGCUAAUCUGCGAUAAGCGCCGGUAAGGUGAUAUGAACCGUUAUAACCGGCGAUUUCCGAAUGGGGAAACCCAGUGUGUUUCGACACACUAUCAUUAACUGAAUCCAUAGGUUAAUGAGGCGAACCGGGGGAACUGAAACAUCUAAGUACCCCGAGGAAAAGAAAUCAACCGAGAUUCCCCCAGUAGCGGCGAGCGAACGGGGAGGAGCCCAGAGCCUGAAUCAGUGUGUGUGUUAGUGGAAGCGUCUGGAAAGGCGCGCGAUACAGGGUGACAGCCCCGUACACAAAAAUGCACAUGCUGUGAGCUCGAUGAGUAGGGCGGGACACGUGGUAUCCUGUCUGAAUAUGGGGGGACCAUCCUCCAAGGCUAAAUACUCCUGACUGACCGAUAGUGAACCAGUACCGUGAGGGAAAGGCGAAAAGAACCCCGGCGAGGGGAGUGAAAAAGAACCUGAAACCGUGUACGUACAAGCAGUGGGAGCACGCUUAGGCGUGUGACUGCGUACCUUUUGUAUAAUGGGUCAGCGACUUAUAUUCUGUAGCAAGGUUAACCGAAUAGGGGAGCCGAAGGGAAACCGAGUCUUAACUGGGCGUUAAGUUGCAGGGUAUAGACCCGAAACCCGGUGAUCUAGCCAUGGGCAGGUUGAAGGUUGGGUAACACUAACUGGAGGACCGAACCGACUAAUGUUGAAAAAUUAGCGGAUGACUUGUGGCUGGGGGUGAAAGGCCAAUCAAACCGGGAGAUAGCUGGUUCUCCCCGAAAGCUAUUUAGGUAGCGCCUCGUGAAUUCAUCUCCGGGGGUAGAGCACUGUUUCGGCAAGGGGGUCAUCCCGACUUACCAACCCGAUGCAAACUGCGAAUACCGGAGAAUGUUAUCACGGGAGACACACGGCGGGUGCUAACGUCCGUCGUGAAGAGGGAAACAACCCAGACCGCCAGCUAAGGUCCCAAAGUCAUGGUUAAGUGGGAAACGAUGUGGGAAGGCCCAGACAGCCAGGAUGUUGGCUUAGAAGCAGCCAUCAUUUAAAGAAAGCGUAAUAGCUCACUGGUCGAGUCGGCCUGCGCGGAAGAUGUAACGGGGCUAAACCAUGCACCGAAGCUGCGGCAGCGACGCUGAUGCGUUGUUGGGUAGGGGAGCGUUCUGUAAGCCUGUGAAGGUGUACUGUGAGGUAUGCUGGAGGUAUCAGAAGUGCGAAUGCUGACAUAAGUAACGAUAAAGCGGGUGAAAAGCCCGCUCGCCGGAAGACCAAGGGUUCCUGUCCAACGUUAAUCGGGGCAGGGUGAGUCGACCCCUAAGGCGAGGCCGAAAGGCGUAGUCGAUGGGAAACAGGUUAAUAUUCCUGUACUUGGUGUUACUGCGAAGGGGGGACGGAGAAGGCUAUGUUGGCCGGGCGACGGUUGUCCCGGUUUAAGCGUGUAGGCUGGUUUUCCAGGCAAAUCCGGAAAAUCAAGGCUGAGGCGUGAUGACGAGGCACUACGGUGCUGAAGCAACAAAUGCCCUGCUUCCAGGAAAAGCCUCUAAGCAUCAGGUAACAUCAAAUCGUACCCCAAACCGACACAGGUGGUCAGGUAGAGAAUACCAAGGCGCUUGAGAGAACUCGGGUGAAGGAACUAGGCAAAAUGGUGCCGUAACUUCGGGAGAAGGCACGCUGAUAUGUAGGUGAAGUCCCUCGCGGAUGGAGCUGAAAUCAGUCGAAGAUACCAGCUGGCUGCAACUGUUUAUUAAAAACACAGCACUGUGCAAACACGAAAGUGGACGUAUACGGUGUGACGCCUGCCCGGUGCCGGAAGGUUAAUUGAUGGGGUUAGCGCAAGCGAAGCUCUUGAUCGAAGCCCCGGUAAACGGCGGCCGUAACUAUAACGGUCCUAAGGUAGCGAAAUUCCUUGUCGGGUAAGUUCCGACCUGCACGAAUGGCGUAAUGAUGGCCAGGCUGUCUCCACCCGAGACUCAGUGAAAUUGAACUCGCUGUGAAGAUGCAGUGUACCCGCGGCAAGACGGAAAGACCCCGUGAACCUUUACUAUAGCUUGACACUGAACAUUGAGCCUUGAUGUGUAGGAUAGGUGGGAGGCUUUGAAGUGUGGACGCCAGUCUGCAUGGAGCCGACCUUGAAAUACCACCCUUUAAUGUUUGAUGUUCUAACGUUGACCCGUAAUCCGGGUUGCGGACAGUGUCUGGUGGGUAGUUUGACUGGGGCGGUCUCCUCCUAAAGAGUAACGGAGGAGCACGAAGGUUGGCUAAUCCUGGUCGGACAUCAGGAGGUUAGUGCAAUGGCAUAAGCCAGCUUGACUGCGAGCGUGACGGCGCGAGCAGGUGCGAAAGCAGGUCAUAGUGAUCCGGUGGUUCUGAAUGGAAGGGCCAUCGCUCAACGGAUAAAAGGUACUCCGGGGAUAACAGGCUGAUACCGCCCAAGAGUUCAUAUCGACGGCGGUGUUUGGCACCUCGAUGUCGGCUCAUCACAUCCUGGGGCUGAAGUAGGUCCCAAGGGUAUGGCUGUUCGCCAUUUAAAGUGGUACGCGAGCUGGGUUUAGAACGUCGUGAGACAGUUCGGUCCCUAUCUGCCGUGGGCGCUGGAGAACUGAGGGGGGCUGCUCCUAGUACGAGAGGACCGGAGUGGACGCAUCACUGGUGUUCGGGUUGUCAUGCCAAUGGCACUGCCCGGUAGCUAAAUGCGGAAGAGAUAAGUGCUGAAAGCAUCUAAGCACGAAACUUGCCCCGAGAUGAGUUCUCCCUGACUCCUUGA